GUCCAUCUCCUGGAGCCUUCGAUCCAGGAGGUCCUCUCGACUGCGAGUCUCGAGGGUCUUCUGGUAGAGUGGAGGUAGGGAUCCUCCGGGAGUGGAAUCGUGAUCAGACUGAGGGCUCUCCACCUUCAGAUUCCCCUUUCCAAGGAAGACAGGAUGACUGGCCCAAGUGGCCCACCCUACUACCGGAUCUUGAAACUCCGAUGAUGCUCUUUCCAACCGCACUGACACCUG
rnacentral:lncRNA from 1 species